GUAGAACGCUGAGGAUUGGUGCUUGCACUAAUCCAAAGAGUUGCGAACGGGUGAGUAACGCGUAGGUAACCUACCUCAUAGCGGGGGAUAACUAUUGGAAACGAUAGCUAAUACCGCAUGACACUAGAGUACACAUGUACUUAAUUUAAAAGGAGCAAUUGCUUCACUAUGAGAUGGACCUGCGUUGUAUUAGCUAGUUGGUGAGGUAACGGCUCACCAAGGCGACGAUACAUAGCCGACCUGAGAGGGUGAUCGGCCACACUGGGACUGAGACACGGCCCACACUCCUACGGGAGGCAGCAGUAGGGAAUCUUCGGCAAUGGACGGAAGUCUGACCGAGCAACGCCGCGUGAGUGAAGAAGGUUUUCAGAUCGUAAAGCUCUGUUGUUAGAGAAGAACGGUAAUGGGAGUGGAAAAUCCAUUACGUGACGGUAACUAACCAGAAAGGGACGGCUAACUACGUGCCAGCAGCCGCGGUAAUACGUAUGUCUCGAGCGUUGUCCGGAUUUAUUGGGCGUAAAGCGAGCGCAGGCGGUUCUAUAAGUCUGAAGUAAAAGGCAGUGGCUCAACCAUUGUAUGCUUUGGAAACUGUAGAACUUGAGUGCAGAAGGGGAGAGUGGAAUUCCAUGUGUAGCGGUGAAAUGCGUAUAUAUAUGGAGGAACACCGGUGGCGAACGCGGCUCUCUGGUCUGUAACUGACGCUGACGCUCGAAAGCGUGGGGAGCAAACAGGAUUAGAUACCCUGGUA
rnacentral:rRNA from 1 species